rnacentral:rRNA from 1 species
AUUGAACGCUGGCGGCAGGCCUAGCACAUGCAAGUCGAGCGGAUGAAGGGAGCUUGCUCCUGGAUUCAGCGGCGGACGGGUGAGUAAUGCCUAGGAAUCUGCCUGGUAGUGGGGGAUAACGUCCGGAAACGGGCGCUAAUACCGCAUACGUCCUGAGGGAGAAAGUGGGGGAUCUUCGGACCUCACGCUAUCAGAUGAGCCUAGGUCGGAUUAGCUAGUUGGUGGGGUAAAGGCCUACCAAGGCGACGAUCCGUAACUGGUCUGAGAGGAUGAUCAGUCACACUGGAACUGAGACACGGUCCAGACUCCUACGGGAGGCAGCAGUGGGGAAUAUUGGACAAUGGGCGAAAGCCUGAUCCAGCCAUGCCGCGUGUGUGAAGAAGGUCUUCGGAUUGUAAAGCACUUUAAGUUGGGAGGAAGGGCAGUAAGUUAAUACCUUGCUGUUUUGACGUUACCAACAGAAUAAGCACCAGCUAACUUCGUG